rnacentral:lncRNA from 12 species
CUCCUCCACCAUCUUUCUGGUGGUGGCCUCCCAUUGACUACAUUUUUUAAAGGAAAAACCGUGCUUUUUUCCAUACUCUCCUCACAGAGACCCACCAACUGUUUGCUGUUUCCUUACACUUCACAACUGUUUUGUGUGUAAGCCCUUUGGAAUGUGCUGGAGUUACUGCCUGCCAUGUGGCUAUUCCAACUGUUUCUGUUACUUUAUUUCAGAUCUCAUAUACAGUUGUUCCUUGAACAGCUAGGAGGUUGGGGGAUCAACUCCCCCCAGCUAGGUCAAAAAUCCAUCUACGACUUUUGACUCUCCAAAAACUUAACUGCUAAUAGCUUACUGUUGACUGGAAGCCUUACUGAUAACACAACCAGUUGGCUAACACAUAUUUUGUAUGUAUACUGUACCCCUACAAGAAAGUAAGCUAGAGAAAAGAAAAUCAUAAGAGAAAAUACAUUUAUGAUAUUGUAUUGUAAAGCAUAAAUCUGCUUAUAAAUGGACCUGUGUGGUUCAAACCCAUGUUGCUCAAGGGUUUUGCAGAAAGAGCUCAUUGCAGCUAUGCAUGGCAGCAUCAUCCUGUCUUCUGGAGCCAGUUCCAGUUUCUAUUUCUCUAAGUAGUAUCUGAGUGAUCCCAGAGAAACUCCUGUAUCUAAGACUCAGCAACCUCAGAGAAAGCAAGGAGCUGGUGACUAUGUGGUCAGAGUCCCUUUUUGAGGAAAAGUGGAAGAACACCAUGUUAUACAGUGGGCCACGGAAUCUCUUGGAUUUAUAGCUACAAGUACCUGGGUCCCAGGCCUCCUGACUCUGGUUGGCCUCCUGUGCAAGAGUGGUGCAUUUGGAAAUGGCUCCUGGGGCAUUAGGCUGGUCGCAAAACUCAGGGGGAAGUAAGAAUGGGUAGUUAUGUGGCUUGUUUUGCUUUGCUUUUUGCCUUUGUUUUCUUCUGGCUGCCAGAGCUUUCCUCUCUAUGCCCUUGGGAAAAGGGUUUUCCCAUUAGGACUUCAUCUUGUUUGUGUGGCCCUGACAAAGUGGUUUGGGGUCUAGAAUUGCCUUUCUCAGGGAUCUUCUCCAAACCUCCAGCUACAGACCCCACGGAUUCACCUCAUGAGCCCCCUGUGAGGACGUUGGUGACAGAAGAUAUCAGCCUUGGUCAUCUAAGGGCAGGUCCACAGAAGUGAUAUAAAGAGAUUAGAGUAGAGGAUGGCUAAAGGCAAAGGAGAUGGAACAGCUUUCCACUGGAUGGAACAACAUUCCACUGGAUGCCUGAGUUUGGCUCAAGGUGAAUGUGGGAGAUGGGGGGUUAAAUCCCUGGAGACCUUGUCUAAAUGGCAAGUAGCAUCUUCACAAGGUGGGAUCUCCUGGAAAUUUAUAAAAGGAAGAUCAUGUCUAAUAUCUUAAGUGUUUAUUUGGAGGAGAGCUCUGAAGGAGAGAAAGGGGAUUUAAAAAAUCCAUAUUUGGCACAAAUGUAAGAAAUUAUGUCCAUGGUCCCUUUUUUAGCAGUUUCUUUUCAAGUUCAGUAGAUGGUUGGAAGAGGAUCUGUUCUCCAGCCUUAAUUCCGUGUUGUCACUCUUCUCUGCUAUCCUUAUACCCCCUAGAUGCCCUAUGGGAGAAAGUAUAAUACAUGGCUACUGAAUUCAAUCCUGAGCCAUUGCAGUGUCCCCUUCACCACUGGUGAUGUAUGAGAGAAUGGUGAAGCCAGAGAAAUGGGCACAGGGAAGGGGA